GUACGGGGGGAGCAAGCGUUUGUUCGGGAUUUACUGGGCGUAAAGGGCGCGUAGGCGGUCAGCACAAGUCAGUUGUGGAAAUCUCCGGGCUUAACUCGGAAAGGUCAACUGAUACUGUGCGACUAGAGUGCAGAAGGGGCAACUGGAAUUCUCGGUGUGCGGAUGAAAUGCGUAGAUAUCGAGAGGAACACCUGCGGCGAAGGCGGCAUCCUGGACCGGCAUUGACGCUGAGGAGCGAAAGCCAGGGGAGCAAACGGG
rnacentral:rRNA from 1 species